rnacentral:rRNA from 1 species
UACGAAGGGGGCUAGCGUUGCUCGGAAUGACUGGGCGUAAAGGGCGCGUAGGCGGAUGGCACAGUCAGAUGUGAAAUUCCCGGGCUUAACCUGGGGGCUGCAUUUGAUACGUGUGGGCUUGAGUGGGGAAGAGGGUCGUGGAAUUCCCAGUGUAGAGGUGAAAUUCGUAGAUAUUGGGAAGAACACCGGUGGCGAAGGCGGCGACCUGGUCCUUGACUGACGCUGAGGCGCGAAAGCGUGGGGAGCAAACAGG